AAUCUUGCACAAUGGAGGCAACUCUGAUGCAGCGACGCCGCGUGAGGGAUGACGGCCUUCGGGUUGUAAACCUCUUUCAGUAGGGAACAAGGCCAGCACUUGUGUUGGUUGAGGGUACUUGCAGAAGAAGCGCCGGCUAACUACGUGCCAGCAGCCGCGGUAAUACGUAGGGCGCAAGCGUUAUCCGGAAUUAUUGGGCGUAAAGAGCUCGUAGGCGGUUUGUCGCGUCUGCCGUGAAAGUCCGGGGCUCAACCCCGGAUCUGCGGUGGGUACGGGCAGACUAGAGUGAUGUAGGGGAGACUGGAAUUCCUGGUGUAGCGGUGAAAUGCGCAGAUAUCAGGAGGAACACCGAUGGCGAAGGCAGGUCUCUGGGCAUUAACUGACGCUGAGGAGCGAAAGCAUGGGGAGCGAAC
rnacentral:rRNA from 1 species